GCGGCUGCUUCCUGCCCGCUACGUCCUCCGCGGUGCAGCGGGGACCGGCUGCUCAGGGGCUCCCUGAGUUCUGUGAGGAGUGGCCCGUGGGACGGGGCCCGCGGGUCUGGUUCUGCUGGCUACACGCGUCAGAACCCAGCUGUCUGCGGGCGUGGGGAGCCGCCACGCACACGUCGCACACGUCGCACACGUCGGGGUUGGGUCUGCAGACCCCUCCCACCCCAGUGGAGACGCCCCUCGCCCUCCGCUGAGCCUCCCGGGCAGCGAGACCUUCCCAGAGGGUUUAACCAGGGUUUGUCGAGUUUCUGCAAAUCGCCCAUUGUCCUUUUGAUUUUGGUUGGUUGUAGACCCACAAACUUACAUUCAAGUGUUUACGGGCAGAGAUUAUGUAAACAAUUAUUGUAGAGUUAAGAAAACACAUAAUCACAGAAGGAGCUGGUUGUUGAUACAUUUAAAAAAUUUGACUUUUUCUCAGAAUAAAAAAGGGCGAAGAACUGUGAACGGCCCACAGCCCACAUGCACGCUGUGUAGACUGAGUCUAAUCGAAUCCGCCCAUUAUUCCUCCUAGCAGGGGGCACAGGUGUGCUGGUGCUGGGUGGUGCCGGGCGGCAUCUGCUCUGGGAGAGGCCAGAGCCUCGGCGGUGGGAUGUCACACCACCCGGAGCUGUCACACCACCCGGAGCUGUCACACCACCCGGAGCUGUCACACCACCCGCUGAGCGGUGCCGCCCUCCCCCGAGCCAGCACGCGGUCCCAGCCAGGACACACGGGAGAGGCCGGCGAGGAAAAAGCAGCAUCGCAGUGUUUACCGAAGGGCCGUCUGUCGUUCUCCUGAAUGAGGUCCCAGGGGAGGUCGCACUGAAGCGGAUGCUGAGAGACAAUCAAACCUUUCACGGACACAGAAGGACGGUGCUGUCUGUCUCCACGCAGGAGACAGAGACGAGCCUUUGGCCGCCAGCUCUCUGAGUUGUCAGCCUAGGACGCUGGUUUAGUCGGGCGCGCUGUGAGAUGAUCGAUAUUCCAGACACUCACGUUGAAAUCUGGUGGAAUCCCUGAGCACAAACCAGAAACUAUGUGUCGGCGUCUGCGCAUCUUACGACCUUCUCAGUGACGGGGAAGGCGAGGCGGUCGAUGCGGCAUGCGGUGACGCACGGGGGCGAAGCCCGCGACCCACACUGUCCCGCGUCCCACACUGUCCCGCGUCCCACACUGUCCCGCGACCCACACUGCCUGUGACCCACACUGUCCCGCGUC